rnacentral:lncRNA from 1 species
GUAAUGAUUAUGCACAAAGUCACAAAGACUUGGCAACAAUCAUUACAGAGUAUUCCAAAGGAGAUCAACUCCUUGGAAAUAUCCUUCUUGCAUUAAGUUUCCUUAAUCUUACACAGAUUGAAAAUUCUAACUUUGAAACAUUUCCAGAUUCCAUUUUGACUAUCACUUCUGAACAAGAGUUGCCUCCUUACAGAUUAUGUCAAUAUGGUCCUUCCAGAAUUAUCACUAUACUUCCAAUUGUCCUUGAGUAACCAAUCUUUGGUAAACCUUAGAUUGUCCUCGACAAUUGUUUAAUCCUUUUAGUCAUAUCCAGUUCUAAACCUUUUCCCUUCUUAAUGCCCCAGGCAUUUGGAAAAUUUUAGAACGGAUGAAUAUAGCACAUGUAAUCGAUCCUAUAUCCGAAGCAUAUGGGACACGAUUCAUGAUGUCUUACAUAAAGACUAAACCAGUCUUUUGCUAUAAUAUUUCCAUUUCAAUUUGCCAAGUUCUCAUAAUUCAGAUUAUGAAAAGGGAUGCCGUAAUCAUAAUCGAAUUUUAGAACGCAAAUAAUGGACCCAUAUACAGAAUUUCCUUAUGUUGAGCCAUUCCAACAUGAAAUUCAUAUAUAUCCUUGACUAAAUGAUUAAAACCUCACGAUCUAAGCUUAUAGAUUUGAGAUGAAGCAUAAUUUCCUCUCCCUUAAUUAUAGCAAAACAACUUUUUCCCAAUUGAAACUUUUGUUUUCUAUAAUUAACAUUGCUAACUUGCAAUACUUAUCAUAAUUAUCAUGCUCCCACUAACAUGAUGAUUAUUAGCAUAACACUUAUGCUCCCACUAGCUUUGACAUGUACUCAGAAAUCAGCUGGACAGUCUGAAAUUUAGAUUCAUACACCCUUUCCGUAGAUAGCUCACCUGUGUGUCUAAGCAAUUUCAAGAACCAUGAAAAGGGAUACCGUAAUCAUGGUCUCAAUUGCUUAGGCAUUUGCCAUUUCUCACAAGUCCAUGUUAGUGUGCCGGUUAACCACACGCGCUCCACUAACGACUUUUGAAAAUGCAAAUAACACAAUUGAUAUCUUCGUAAAAUCUACUUAGUGAAAGCGUUUCCUCACCAUCAUUUUCAUGAAUCGGAGAGAAACCUUAUGACACUUAGAUUUAUAUGGUGUAUGAGUUCCUACCCAUAUGAAUUUGUCAAACCAUAAUCACAAGACAAAGAUAAUGACAAAUCCAAAACCAUAUGGAUUGAACUCAAUCUUAACUUCUUGCCACCUGGCAGCUCAAGGGCCUGCCAUUGCUUCCAAGUUGUUAUGCAACAAACUGAGAACUCUAAGAACUCAUAUGCAAAGCCAACUUUAACUGGAAUGGGCACAGAUAUGUCAACACGAUAGGUUAUAAACCUCAAGUCGUGUGCUAGUGAAGAACUUUAGGUUUUAUUCUUGAUUAUUUCUUGAGACUUUCAAGACCUUUAAGACUCCCACUGUCCUCUUGACAUAUAAGACUCCCUUGUCAAACAUCCAAGAGAUAGUGCGGAUUCUAAUCAAGAAAAACACUUUACCCAAUUGGCCUAAGUUGGUCUUUGUUUUAUCCAAAACAUCACAACUUACCAAUUUCAAAUGUACAAGAGUAGAAAACUUUUACUCUUACAUUUGACAAGUGUUUUAAACCUUCUUUAAGACAUGUCACUCAAAUGACAAUCUUGGAGUAUGACUCUAAGACUUGUAUUGGAACGAAGUAUGACUCAUCUUCUUGAUUUAACCAUUUCAACAAUUCAAGUUCCUCUUCUUAGUCAUAAGAAUGCACUAAGAUUUCCUUAGAGAACUAAUUUUGAUAUGGUUUCUUAAUCAUUAAGAUGAUCACAAAACUGAUACUAAAGUACUCUCCCAUCUUUUCAGAUUUGAGAAACUUUUAUCCUUCUGCCUUAUUUGAUUCUUCUUAUCGAUCUUUAGUGGUGGACUUAAUCAGUGCACAAGAAUGUGUACUCGAUCCCUAAGUCCUUUACUUGACUCACACAUCCAUGUGAACAAGUAAUUAGUCUUAAUUUUCCAAAACUUGAAAGUUCUCAUUCAUCAUGCUAUACAACUUGCAUGAUUCCAAGUUCCGGUCCAAUUGAAACUUGGGUGAUGAGAAUCUUUCCUUAUUUGGUAAAUUUAGACAUUACCACAAAUGAAAGAAUCAAUUUCAUAUUUCCACUCUUGCUCUUAAUGGAAUCAUAUAAGCAACAAUUUUUCCUCAAAUGCCAUUGUAAGGAUAUUUUAAAAUAAAUAAAAAAAAAAAAAAAAAAUUUUCUUUUAUUUUAAAACUUUGCGGAAAAACUUAUCCUUACAAUCCAUAUGAAAACUUGUUGUUAUCUAUUCCUAAGCAAUAUCUCAUAACUCCUAAGAAGUAGCUCAAGAAUCCGAUCUUCAAACUAUGCGAUAGAAAUCCAUCUACGCCAUCAGAUUCAGCAUAUUCUUUCUUUAAGUUUCUUCACUUUUCUUUGAUUCUUAAAACAUCACCAUGUGACCCAGUCACAUCAUGUAUCAAGAAUCUCAGAAUAGAAACUUAACAGAGUUAGAUAGUGGACUUUACCUGAAGUAGAGUCAAACUUAUUGACUUUAACAUCCUUAGGUAAAUUUGGCAGCUUCGCAACCAAUGCCCCUUCCUUUGGCAAUAUAAACAUAUGGACCCUUUGAUAAUGGUACACGAGACUAUCACAGACUUAGCUUUUCUCUUUACCAUUUGGUCAACCGAGUUGACUAUGGCCGAUCCCUUUCCAUUGGGAAGAGAAUGCUUUACUGGAUAUCCAAUGUCAUCAUUGUCAAUGUCCAUAAAGUUUUAGGAAGUUGAUCUUAGCAAAUAGAUAAGAUCAUUAAGGGUCUUGUCAUAGUCUGUUUCAUAGGUGUCCCAAAGGAACUCACUAUGUGACUUAGAAAGUGGUUGAACCACCAACUUUCUCAAGACUUUGACACCCAACUCUCCCGGCUUGUCAAUAUGUGACUACAUCUCCAAGAUGUGACCACACCUAGACCUUGCCUUGCCAAUAGGGCCUGAGUGACCUUAAACUUUUCAAGAACUUGUGGGUUAGGGAGAAUAAUUUGAAGAGGUGAAGAAGUAUGAUAUCCAUGGGACAUCAUCUUCAUUAGGAAACCUUGUUUCAAGAGAUUUGGGAAGAUCAUAGGUGUCUAAACCAGACAUCUUUUGGGAGAUAUUCAAGAUAGUUGAUUUAAAGUCCUUAAUAUGACACCCAAUAUGAAAUAUUAAGGCUAGGACCCAACAAACUAUUUUAUAACUUAGAAGAGGUAUGCCGUAAUCCAAGCUAUAAAAUAUUUGAAGGUAGGUGAAUGACGAUUCACCAAUUUCCACCAAGAUAAACGAAAUGUAUUAUUAGGUUUUAAUUGGUUUUGAAACUCCUAGAUCUUUGAGAUUCAUUGAACUUUUCAAAGGCAUGUUUCAAUCUCGAGUGUGCCCUUCAGGUUUUGUGACUGGGAUGCCGAGGAUCACAAAACAAGGUGUGAAGUAACCAUGCAAAUCACUUGGUACCCUUAAUAAAUUACCCCUCAAUCGAUGUGCCGGUUAACCACACACGCUCCAUCGAUACUAUGAUAAAUAUUAAGUCACCCUUUACCUACCUUGUUAAGUCCAAGUUAGUGUGCCGGUUAACCACACACGCUCCACUAACGACUUAGACAAAGUGUAAAGUGUAAUUUCAUGGAUUAGCACCUUAUUCACAUUUUUCCUAAGUAACUAAGAUUGGGUAUUAUUAAGAGUUUAGUUACUUAGUAUUAUCAUUAAUACUUUUAAUGAAGGGAGAAUUCUAGUCCUGUCAAACCCGUUCGGCUAACGACCCUCCACCAGUCAAGCAAGCGGUGGGUGAGAGUGGACACCCAUUAAGUUGCCAUUUUAUAGGCAACAACCUUAUACCCACCUUAUAGACCGGCUUCGUGAAUGAGGCGUACUAGCGGUAAGACUGACUUUACUCUUAUACAUAUAUAUAUUAUUAACUUAUAAUAUUAUAAAGUAUAAGGGUUGAAUUUUAACUUUUAAAAUUCUAAGGGCUAACUUGGAAUUAAAGUAUUCAUAAGUGAAAACUUUACAAAUUCCAAAACUUGAGGGCAAGUUUUGAAACUAUUCAAAACUAAUUAAUUCCAUAACUUAUGUGUUUAAAGUAGUUUUAAUCCAAAAACUCUUCAAGUUCCAUAACUUGAGGACAAGUUAUGGAAGACUUUAAACUAAUAAAAGAAUUAACUUUUCUUUAUUUUAUAACUUAUGGAAUUAAUUAAGGUUACACCUUUUUUUAUUUUAUUUUAUUUUAUUAAAUGAAGAGACUCUUGGUCCUCCAUAACUUGAGGACAAGUUAUGGAGUCAUAAAACCAUUUAAUUAGAACUAGACUCUUCAUUUUUGUAACCUUUGCCAAUUUUUAUGAGUUUUAUGAUUCUUAAAUGUGACUUUUCAUAUAACUUGAGGACAAGUUACAAAAACACAUUUUAGAAUCAAUUCUUAGAUUAAUUUGGAUUAAAACCAACUAUCACAUAAUUUUAUUCAUUAAUCUAAAUUCACUCAUAAAACAAGAUAACACAAAAAACUUUUGGUGAUCCAUAACUUAUUCUUAAGUUAUGGAAUCCUUUAAAACAUUAACACCAAAUUUUGUAACUCCAAAAAAACUUUGAAUCAAUUUUUUUUUUAAAACCUUUUCAUAUCCAUAACUUAUGGAGGUUUCAAAAAAUAAAACUCUUUAGAUCAAACUUUUAAAACUAAUAAAAUAAUCAUAUUAUUUUAUCUUUUAUUAAAUUUGACCUAAUUCAACUCAUAAAGCAAAUUAUUCAAAUUUUACAAAUAAUUAGUUUUUCACAAGAACAAGUAAUUAUCUUAAAAUUUGACGAACUUCAUGUUUUUUUUUUUUUUUUUUUUUUUUCAACUUUGAAAAUAAAAUAUUUGCAUCAAUAUAACAGAAAACAACCCGUGGCUCUGAUACCACUGUUGGGUUUUGAGCAUUCUAACACUUCCUAAGUGUACAUGCAACCCUAAAUACCUUGGAUCUAUGUUUUCUCUAUUAUACAUGCAAAUAAGAACAUCCAAGGUAUUAUCCUAAUCUAGCAUACAAAAACUAUGAAUGCAACAAGAUAGAAUACAUACCUCUUGAUGUAGCUUGAUGUCUUCAAGCUUUAAGAGCUUAGCCCCAAUAGUGUGGAAGCCUCAAGUGGAAUCACAAAUCACCAAGACACCUUGGAAUACUUUAGAGAAUACGAUUACUUGGUUCUCUCUAGUGAAAUUGGCUAGCCCUUCUUUAGUGUAUCCACACUAGUGCCAAUUUCACCAACCAAAGACAUCUUUAUAUAGUAUGGAGGAUUAGGGUUAAACCCUAAUACCCAUGACCUUUCAUUUCCUAGGAUCCAUGGGUUAAACACUCCAUGGACUAUCCAUGAAAGCUUAGCCCAACCUAAAUGAACUUGGCCCAUUCCAUAUAUAUAAGAGUCCAUAUUUAAUUAGUUCCUUUUGAUCACUUAAUUAAUUAUAAAUUAAUUCUUGAUCAAUACUAAUUAAAUAAUAUGAUUCCAUAUUAAUAUAUUAGAACUUAUAAUAUAUUAAUAUUAAUCAUAAACAUACUAUUCUCAAAAGAUUAUCCAUAUAAAUUGUGUCGGUGAAGUGCAACCCAAAUGGACCAUGCCGGGUCGGGUCAAGUACAUACCAAAUAUAGUUAUGGACUUAGACAUUAAUCCAACAGAUGUGUUCAAUGUUAGUCUGUUGUCGGUGAUCAUAAAUCAGAAAUCAGGAAACAACACAUGAACAGAGAGUUUGAUUAAAAUCCAUGUCUCAGUUCAUAUGAUAUCUAGCAUGGAGGAAUAUAUGAUUCCUUAUCUAACGGACGUGUUACUGAUAAGAUUAGAGUUAACAAUUACUUUUGAAAGCUACGAUUGCUGAUCAGGUUCCAAAGUCAUAUGCAAACUAGUUAUUAGACUUAUCCAAGUGGGAGACUGUUGGAUUAGGUUUCUAAGCCCAUAACUAUUUUGUUAUGUACUUGACCCGAUUGUGAGCAUGGUCCUUUUGGGUUGCCUUCACCAUAGUAACUGAUAGGAUGAAUUAAGGAGAAAGAGGUUUAAUUAUGAAUUAUUAAUAUAUUAUAUGAAUAAUAUAUUAAAAUACGAAUCAUAUUGUUUAAUUAAUAUUAGUCAAGAAUUAAUAAGAAUUAAUUUUGUGGCUAAAAGAGAUUAAUUAAACUUGGGGGAUUGAUAUUGUAAUUAUAAGAAAGAUGCAUAAAUGGGCUAAUGGACUCCAUAGAAGUUGGAGUGGACGAAAUAUAUAGGGAAACCCAUUAGAAUUCGUCCAAGGCUUCUAAGGAGGGAGUCCAUGGGCUGCUUAGGGCCUAAGCAGUCGGAUUUGGGUUUCCUGGUUGAAGACCCUAAUAGCCUAAGUUAUAUAGAGUGUUGUUUAACGCUUAUAUAACAAUAAUAAUAAUAGCUAGACUAUUAAUUAGUCGCAGUUAACGCUAGAUAAACCCUAGUGGUAUUGAUACUAGGUUUUGUCGAGGGAAAAUUAUUUUGAGAUAACGAAGCGUUGUUCAAGUGUAGAGUUACCACCUAAUCAGGUGAGUGCAUAGUCACUUUCAGCUUACACAUAGAUAUGAAGUAUUUUAUAUAAAUUACGUGUUGUGUGUGCAUAUUAUCUGUAUACUUGCUAUCUAUGUUGGAUGAACGAUUUUACACAUGUUUUAAAUGAUUUAAAUUGUAUAUGUAUUUUAUAUCUACAAAAAUGUUGGGAUAAAACAUGGGUAGAUGUAAUAGACGAUGUGUGAUAAAAUGAUGAGAGGCCUCGAUGUUGUUGCUGUUGAUUUUGUCAUCUAGCGGAGUAUGGAUGACAACCAUGGACUCUUCUAGACAGUCCAGUGGAACACUAGCAGGCUCGCAACCUGUAGGUGUUUGUGAACAAUGUGUUCACCGGCGUACUCCAUCCCCUUCAUGGUUGCCUUUAGGAGAUUUAUUGUGAGGUGUGAGCACUAGCUUAUUUUAGGAAUUAUGCAUAAAAUGCUUUUAUAUGCUAAAUGCUUUGUGCCUUAUAUGUUGUUAUUUAUUCAGAUCUAUGGUCUGUUGCCGACCGGAUCUGGAAACCUUAUGAGUUUAGGAUUCUAAAUGUACGACUACAAUAUUAGAACUAGCAUGUAAAAGUUUCGGAGAGAUAAGGAUGAUUUAAACAUCUAUCAUAAAUAAAGAUCUAAAUUCACCUUAUUUGGUGUAUAGAUCAAAAUGACGAGAACCCGCAGUGGAGCUGGGAAUGUGAAUGGGAAUAGGAAUCAACCCCUAGCGAUUCAGAAAAUACCUGUCGUAGCAGAUGCCCCCGAACCAAUUACCAUCGUUGGAGUACAAGCCAUGAUUUGAGCUAUGUUAGCAGAUCAAAGGGAGGAAAUUAGGCAGAUGUUGCAUGAAAAUAGGGACGAACCUACUAUGCCCAUUGAGCAACCCGAGCUGAUUCCUGAGCAAUCGGAAGAAGGGAACUAUAGACGCCAUGUCAGUCAAGUUGGGACUCAAGAAGAAUGAAGGAAUAACCCGGAGAAGGGAAACGACAAGGAUGGGUGAAUGUACAAGAAUUUCUUGGGUGCGAAACCAUCGAGUCUCUCAGGAAGCCCAAAGCUUGUUGAGAUUAUGGACUGGAUCUCCGAAAUGGAGAUGGUGUUCGAGAGUUGCGACUGUAGCAAGAAACAGAAGAUCGUCUUUGCUGUAAGACAACUGAAAACCGGAGUCUUGAGUUGGUGGAAGCUAUUGGCAAAUACAAUGACGCGAGGAGAAGCCCUGAAUAUGUCAUGGGAUGAGUUCUUGGAACAACUGAAGAUGCAAUACUGUUCAGAGAUUGAUCUGAUUGAUUUGAACAAUGAGUUCCAAAACUUGAAGAAGGGAAGGAUGAACGUUGACGACUAUGCUACUGCAUUCACUAAGAAGAUGAAGUUAUUUCCAUACCUGGUGCCAACCGAACUCUCCAAAAUUGAGAGGUUCGCAAAUGGAUUGCCAGCCGACUUUGGCCCAACAGUCAAGAUGGAAACCACUCUGAAAUCGGUUGUUCGUGCAGCUAAGAAUGUGGAGACCCAGUAGAAGGAAAGGGGUCUGGAGAGGGCUGAGGUUGGUGAGAAAAGGAAAUUUGGCGGGUCCUCGAGGUCCGGUAAGAAGAUUAAAUUCUUGAAGUCUGGUUUGAGAGGAGGAGGAGCCGAAGCAAAAUGGUGCGACAAGUGCAAGAAGAAGCACCAGGGGAAAUGUGACGUAGGAGUCACUUUUUUUAAAUGUGGAAAGCCCGGGCACUAUGCUAACGAAUGCACGUUCACUAAGAAGGUCUGUUAUGAGUGCAACGAGCAGGGGCACGUUUCGAGGGACUGCCCAAAGAAGAAGGAGGCAGGAAGACCUAACAUUCCACCAAAGCCGAAGGCAAGAGCCUUCCAGAUGACGCUCGAGGCUGCAAAGGAGGCAGUAGAUGUCGCUUCAGGUACCUUUCUUGUAAAUGGUUUGCCUGCCAAUAUGCUAUUUGAUUCCGGAGCCAACUACUCCUUUGUGUUGCAUAAAUUUGGUGGGAAAUUAGCAUUUCCUGUAGAAAAACUUGAUAAUGCUCUGACUGUAGAAGUUGCCAGUGGAAAAUUCGUACUUGUUAGUGAACGUAUUAGGAACAUCGUCAUCGACGUAAACGGAAACGAAUUCCUCGUGGAGCUAUUACCCAUAGAGUUAAACGGUUUAGACAUCGUUUUGGGAAUGGAUUGGCUUAGCGCCAACGAUGCCGAGAUAUAAUGCCAAAAGAAGAUAGUAAGAGUAAACCCACCCAAAAAAGAGUCAUUAAUGGUGUACGGGGACAAAUGCAAACUGAAUUCUGGAAUCAUCUCCGUGAUGAAAGCCAGAAAAUGUUUGUCCAAGGGAUGUAUAUCAUAUUUGGUGUUUGUUAUCAAUGCUAAGAAGGAAAAGAAGGAGGUGCAAAACAUACCGGUCGUAUGUGAUUAUCCGGAAGUCUUUCCCGAAGAUCUUCCCGGAUUACCACCUGAUAGACAAGUGGAGUUUCGGAUAGACUUGUUACCAGUUACAACACUGAUAGCAAAGGCACCUUACCAAUUAGCACCAACAGAGAUGAAGGAGCUUAAGACGCAACUUCAAGAGUUAUUGGAAAACGGUUUCAUUCGACCUAGUUCAUCACCCUGGGGAGCUCCGGUGUUAUUCGUGAAGAAGAAAGACGGAAGCAUGAGGAUGUGUAUAGACUACCGAGAGCUGAACAAGGCAACGGUAAAGAACAACUACCCAUUACCUAGGAUUGAUGACCUAUUCGAUCAGCUGCAAGGUUCAAGCUAUUUCUCAAAGAUCGAUCUGAGGUCAGGAUAUCAUCAGUUGAAGGUGAGAGAGUAGGAUAUUGAGAAAACUAUGUUCAGAACAAGAUAUGGACACUAUGAUUUCUUGGUUAUGUCGUUUGGACUGACCAAUGCUCUAGCAGCAUUCAUGGAUUUGAUGAACAGGGUUUGCAAACCAUUCCUCGAUAAAUCCAUGAUAAUGUUCAUCGACAACAUUCUGAUUUACUAAAAAAGCCAAUAGGAGCAUGGCAAGCAUCUACGAGAAGUGUCGGAAGUAUUAAAGAAGGAGAAGCUUUACGCUAAGUUCUCCGAGUGUGAUUUUGGAUCCGAGAAGUCCAAUUCUUGGGUCAUGUGGUUAACCAGGAGGGAAUAAUGGUUGACCCAACAAAAAUCGAAGCUGUAAUGAAGUGGAAACGUCCAAAGAGUCCCACGGAGAUUCAAAUCUCUCUUGGAUUAGCUGGAUAUUAUCGACGAUUUAUCCAAGGCUUUUCUUUGAUAGUUGCUCCAUCGACAGCUUUGACCCAUAAAGGAGCUACAUACACAUGGAGUGAGAAGCAUGAAGAAGCGUUCGAGAAGCUAAAAAAUAAGUUAUGCGAAGCACCGAUACUUUCUCUACCCGAUGGAGUUGAAGACUUCACAGUAUACAAUGAUGCAUCUGGAGUCGGGUUGGGUUGUGUUCUGACCCAAAGAGAAAAGGUGAUAGCAUACGCAUCUCGACAAUUGAAGGAGCACGAAAAGAACUACCCCACUCAUGAUCUGGAGUUGGCAGCGGUAGUAUUUGCCUUAAAGAUAUGGAGGCAUUACCUCUAUGGCACAAAGUGCAAACUCUUCACUGAUCAUAAGAGUCUCCAGUAUCUCUUUAAUCAGAAGGAAUUAAAUAUGAGGCAACGACGCUGGCUGGAAUUACUCAAAAACUACGAAUGUGAGAUACUUUACCACCCCGGUAAAGCAAAUGUUGUCGCUGAUGCUCUCAGUCGAAAAGUCAACCUUGAGAGAAAAAGGCCAAGAGCCUUGAGAAUAGAAGUUGUCUUGACGAUUGUGGAAAGUAUCAGGAAAGCUUAAGAAGAAGCUUCAGAAAAGGGUGACCGAAAAGAAGAACGUUUGGGAAAAACGUUGGUGUUCGGUACAAACCGUCAAGGACUGAAGGUGUUCCAAGAUCGGAUAUGGGUAUCUAAGAAGGGAGGAAUAAAAGACCUGAUGGAAGAAGCGCAAAAGACCAUGUACUCGAUUCAUCCCGGUAGCACUAAAAUGUAUAGGGACCUAAAACCCUACUACUGGUGGCCGACGAUGAAGCUCGAUGUUGCGAAGUAUGUGGCCGAGUGUGUAACAUGUGCGAGAGUUAAGGAACAACAUUAGAAAUCGUAUGGGAGUUUAGAACCUUUACCUGUACCCAUGGGUAAAUGGGAAGACAUCACCAUGGAUUUUGUGACUAAACUGCCCCGGACGAAGAACGGUCACGACAUGAUUUGGGUAGUCAUGGAUCGUUUCACUAAGAGUACACACUUCAUAACAGCCAACGAAAGGUGGUCUAUGGAUAAGCUUGCAAAUUCUUACGUGAAGGAAAUUGUGAGGCUUCACGGUGUUCCUCUAACGAUUGUAUCAGAUCGUGAUAGUCGUUUCACGUCAAGGUUUUGGAGAAGCCUACAAGAGGAAUUGGGUACGAAAUUGUGUUUGAGUACGACUUACCAUCCACAGACUGAUGGUCAGAGCGAAAGAACGAUUCAGACACUGGAAGAUAUUCUGAGAGCAUGUACCCUCGAGUUCCAAGGGAAUAGGGACGAGCACUUACCUCUAGUAGAAUUUUCCUACAACAAUAGUUUUCACUCGAGCAUCAAGAUGGCGCCCUACCAAGCUUUGUACGGACAAAAGUGUCAUACGUCGUCUUGUUGUCUUAAAGCCGGAGAGAAGCAGUUUAUGGGCCCCGAGAUAGUCCAUGAGACUGCUGAGAAGUUGAAAGUGAUUAGUGAAAGGAUGUUAGCAGCUCAGGAUCGUCAGAAGAGCUAUGCUGACAAGAAAAGACGACCGAUGACCUUCGAAGUUGGGGAUUCGGUUUUGCUUAAAGUCUCACCGUGGAAGGGACUUAUAAGAUUCGGGAAAUGGGGAAAGCUGAGUCCAAGGUUUAUUGGACCGUUCAAAGUUCUUCAGAAGAUUGGGAACCAAGUUUACAUGCUCGAAUUACCCAAAGAACUAGAUGGUAUUCAUAACACCUUCCAUGUGUGUUAUUUGAGAAAGUUCACGGGAGAAGUUCCCGACAUAAUUCCAAUCUCAGAAUUAAGAAUGGAUGAGAAAAAGAGGCUGAUUGAAGAGCUCGAGGCAAUUGUUGACCGUAAGACAAAGAAGUUACGAUGCAAGAUGAUCGACUUAGUGUUAGUCAGUUGGAAACAGUUGAAUGGGCCAAAUCUCACCUGGGAAAUAGAGAGUGACAUGAUGAGUCGCUAUCCGCAUAUGUUUGCUGAUGCAUGAUUCCGGGACGGAAUCAUCCUAAUGGGGAGAGAAUUGUAAUGCCCGUGUUUCAGGGCUAAGCAUUUUUAGACAAUGUAAUUGUCAGGUCAACUAUUGUAACUCUUUUUGAAGUAAUAAAGAUGAUACAUUUGAAUACUAUGUGAAUUAUGUGUAUUUAUGUCCUUAUUACUUGUUUAUAAAUGUAUAAUAAAUAAAGGAUAAAAAUAAGCGUCAAAACUAAAGUGUGAGAUAAAACUGAUAGCUUUACAUAAAGUUGUAGUGGUCGAAAGAAGUUAUGACCCGUCGAAGUUUCGCGAUGAAACCGACAUGAUACCAGGAAGCGUGAAUAGUGAAUUUACGAUAGAGAGAGUAUUAGCUAUAGCGAUCAAAACGAAAGUCGUAUAAUACAUUAAACGAAGACCAUCCAUAAAAAAAGCCCAAAUCUGACUUCGUAUGAGGAAGUUAUGAUUUUUCGAAGUUUCGGCUUAGCAGUGUACAACCCGAAGUUCAAAUAUUAGAACGAGCAGUUUUUAGCCGACACAACCUAAAUGAGAAUCGAAGAUUUCGUUAUUUGUAGCAUAAUGACAAAAAUACAGACGAAAACGGACGUCGGAUGAAGAAGUUAUGAAUUUUUAACAGACCAAUCCUGUCUCGGCCUGUUAACAAUAUAACUUUUAAAAUAGAGUCAAAAUUAGUCGACGGAGUCUAAACAAAAGGUGUAGAGUACGUUCCCGCCUUCGUGUGGAUAUAAAGAACGUCAAAAACAAAGUUCAUAUGAGGAAGAUACGAAAUUUUGAAGUUCAUACUUGAUUUUGCGAGAUCUGAUACGAAGUCGCUGACGUGGCACAUUUCUAGCCGUCCGAUGAACUCACGUUGGAUGAAGACACGUCGCCUCGCUUCGCUCUAUGCCCCGCGUCUGAAGUUGGUACGCCCAGUGUACCUUCGGUCCUUAUCCUCUUCCGGUGUGCGAGACAGCUGGACGCAGCUGGACCUUAUCAGAAGACUACACCCAGUGUAGCCAAGGACUACGCCCAGCGUAAUCCGAGGCCUCACAGACUAUAAAAGGGGGCCGAGAGUUUUGAGUUUUUCACACCAAUUCUCUUUCUCUCUCUGAUUUAUUUCUCUCUCUAUUUCCCCUAAGCCUCCCUAAACCCUAGGGAACCUCCCUAGCACCCAAAUGAAGCCCCGAGGCUCCUGGAGUCUCGAGAAAAAAGGUCUUUGGGUUCGGAAACGCUGCUCCAAGCGAAGCCCGGUUUUCUUUAAAAUCCGCUGUAAGUGAGCUACGCCUAUGAAAAUUUUAAUAUAGAUUUUAAAUAAUUAUAGUAGUGUUAUUAGGUCCUUAACAUAAUUAUUUGGGCUAUUAUUAUGAGUUAUAUAGAGUGUUGUUUAACGCUUAUAUAACAAUAAUAAUAAUAGCUAGACUAUUAAUUAGUCGCGGUUAACGCUAGACUAAACCCUAGUGGUAUUGAUACUAGGUUUUGUCGAGGGAAAAUUAUUUUGAGAUAACGAAGCACUGUUUAAGUGCAGAAUCACCACCUAAUCAGGUGAGUGCAUAGUUACUUUCAACUUACACAUAUAUAUAUGAAGUAUUUUAUAUAAAUUACGUGUUGUGUGUGCAUAUUAUCUAUAUACUUGCUAUCUAUGCUGGAUGAACGAUUUUAUACAUGUUUUAAAUGAUUUAAACUGUAUAUGUAUUUUAUAUCUACAAAAAUGUUGGGGUAAAACAUGGGUAGCUGUAAUAGACGAUGUGUGAUAAAAUGAUCAGAGGCCUCGAUGUUGUUGUUGUUGAUUCUGUCAUCUAGUGGAGUAUGGAUGACAACCAUGGACUCUUCUAGAUAAUCCAGUGGAACACUAGCAGGCUCGCAACCUGUAGGUGUUUGUGAACGAUGUGUUCACUGGUGUACUCCAUCCCCCUCAUGGUUGCCUUUAGGACAUUUAUUGUUGAGGAACCCUCUUAGCAGUAGUGUCCAUCCCGAUGAUGAUCCUUAGGCUAGGUCCCUUAUGAUAGGUGUUUUAGGGACGUAAAGUGAGGAUAACGGGAACGGGUAAUCAGGUUAUUGUUGGUUGAUGAAAUUAAAUAACUUAUUUAUUGUGGGUUAAAAACCCUAUGUGCUCACCAGGCUCCCAAGCCUGACCCACUCAGUUUCAUGUAUUACAGGUAGUGGCGCUCGAGCAUAGAUGUGAUGUUUUGGAUGAGGGAUUACGGAUAUAGGCCUGUAGAUAUGAAAUAAUGUAGUAAGGCUUAUAUUGUACUGUUUAUGCUUUUGAUCUGUAUCGCACAUGAGAUCCCGAGUCUUUUAAUGAAAUACAUUUCUUUGGAAACGCUUUUGAUAAAUCUUUAUCAUAUUUUGUUUUGGGACAAAUUCCGCAACACUUUUAUUUAAAAUGUUACUAUGAUUUUCAAACAAGCAUAAACAAAAUCGGUCUUUUCUGGCCGUGAAAAUGGGGAUGUCACACAUCCCUAGACUUCGGGAAUAAAUAAUACACAUAGGAUGAUCUUCCGGAUAUGGAUCACACAAAUCCAAAGAGAAUCCUGAAUUUCCGCUGAAGAUCUCCAAAAUUUCCCAACCAUGACCACUUAUCACUAAGGAUCCCUUACAAGAGCAUAAAUCAAUACUGACUUAUGAUCCCAAAACAUACACUCCUUGCCUACACUUCCAACUGCCAGACUGGUACCCGUACUGCUAUAAACCAAGAACACGGACCCUUAAUCACAUCACAAGGCAUCUAUAAUACAUCAAACCAUCUGCACGCCACCGCGUUGACAUCUUGUCUCCAAAAACUGCGACCAGCAGACCCUGCGUUGGGCUUACACCUUGAAGGUCACAAGCCUACUCACUUCUUCCUUGAACUCGGAAAUUGAAAGGGUAAAAUCCCCAACAUAGAUAGCGACAUACCAACCAUAAAUCAACCAUUCUACUUUCAACUGCAAUCCCCAAACCGAUCAUAACGGUCGAUCCAUCCUCGAGCCCCAUGACUGAAAUGCAUGGUCUUGAUCAGAACCCUCGAGACCUCAAAACCAACAAGCUCAUCUAGGUUUGCAUCAAUCAAUCCAAAUCAAUUUCGCCACUGGGGCCGAACCAUUCCAUACCCAUCCUUAUGUCUGAGCGAUCAUAACCAAAGAUCAACAGAUACAGAGCUACUGCUACGAAUAAUGGUAUCAAACCAUGCUAAUCUCUCCCGACCGGUCUUUAGAAUCCCCCAAAACCCUCCUCGAUUCGAGUAUGGAUCCUAUGCUUCCAGUAGUAUGGGCCCAAUACUACCUUCCACACCUAUCUAUACUUUCCUCACGGAUCAUCUCGGGUCCUCUAAGACCUACUUAUGAUAAUACUCCCAAUACCCACUCAACUGCGAAACAACAGCAUUAAAAUACUUCCUAGGCUCUCCUAUGAUCCCCCAUCUCCCCUACCAUCAGCUGUUGAAGAAUUCAUCAUAAUGUCAGUUAGCUACUUCGUGAACACAAUCACAUGUAAUAAAGCUCAGAUAAUCCUUCAAGUAAAAGACUCAUCCCUAUAACGGUUGGACUCAGACAAGCAAUAGGGUCAUACCCAUCACUUUGAUAUUAUUCAAGCUUGAUUACAUGUGACCUUACAUAUUCACUUAAUAGCUAAAUCACAUCACUUAAGAGACCUACAAAGCACAAAGCAAGCAACAUUCGAGUAAUGGAGUCGACUGGCACUAAAACAUAAUAAAAUCACAAGAAUUCUCAUACGAAGUUUUGAUCUCUAACUCCCAACAUCCCAGAUACAUACUAGCAUACUCAUGCACUCCAUCCUCACUCCUUAGAGGAAGGAUAAACAUAUCGCGACUGGCCGGCUAACCCCACAUAACUCAUCCUAGCACCAACUGCCCCACGACCCUCAAUUGGUGCAAGAUAACUAUCGCAUGCACACUAUCACAUACUACAUAACUUAAACAAUCUUAGGCUAAAAGAUUCAAUCCUGCAACGGUUAGACUCAGACAAGAGCUGGGCAACAGGACCAAAUCCCUUAACCUAAGGCCAUUUAACUCAUGCAGUAUGUGACUUAGCGCAUUCACUCAAUAGUUAGAUCACACACGAAAGAUUCAUACAACAAUCCAUAAGGCAUUCUAAAAGAGAUAAGGCAUCAUAUAAUCAGGCAAUUCUAUCAUGCAAAUUCCUGAAGAUCCUUAGCCUAUCACUAGCAUGUUGUUCUUACAUAUCACAACAUAAUAUCAAAUAACUGUGUGGUAAUUUGGGGUCUACUUACUGGCUCCGGCAAAUUGUACACAUCGCAUCCUCCUUGUUUAUUUUAAAAACCAUUUGAAAAUCAUUUUUAAAAUCUUUUUCCUUAAUUUGAGAGUGGAUUCACACGAGUGUACCUCCAAUUCACUCAAACUAAGGCUCUGGUACCAACUUGUAACAUCCCAUAAAUUUCAACUUGAAACCAAAAAACAACCCAUUUAUUAAUAAAAGUUUUUACAAACUAUUAUUUCCAAAACAUUAAUCAAAAUCAGAGUCUUCCAAGAUCCAAUCAGUUGUAAACCAAGGUGGCGGUGUUCAACGGCAAGGUAGCAGGUGGUAGAGUGGCGGCCGGACUCGGAAGUGCAGGCGGUGGCUGAGAAAGCUCCAAAAAUGGUGGCGGCUGGAAAAAUGAGCUAGUGUUAGGGAUCAUAGAAAAGGAUGAUGAGGGGGAAGGAAAGUGGGUUAAUCCCGUGUUCUCUUCAAACAUAUGAUCAUUUUUCCAAGUUCGACCUUCCUCCACAAAAUAUUUUUAACUUAACUCCAAUAUUUACCAAACAUCCCCUGACUUCUGAGAUUCUUUACAAAACCACCCCCAGAAAUUACACUUUAACCUCCCAAUCCAAAAUUAUGACAUUUAACUCCCAGAACCAACACCCUGCUAAAUUAUUAUGGAUUUAGGGAUACAAUAAAUUAUAAUUUACAUCUCGGGGUUUACGGUUUGUUAUUUAUUUACUUAUUUUAUUAAAUUUAUUUUAAUUUCAACCAGAAUGUUACAAUUCUCCUCCACUUAAAUUAGAUUUGGUCCUCGAAAUCAUUUCUUACCAAUCCCAGGAAGCCAACAACCUGAGCAACAAGGCCAUAACCCCGAGCAUACCACAUCCUUCCCAAGGCAAUCGAAACCAACCCUCGCAGGGCUCUCCAACCCGCAGAUGAACGAAUUCCUUCACCAUCCGACAAUAUUCCCUUGAGAAAUAACCACAACAACUCAACCUGAAAUAUGAAGUCUCAAGAGGGUCUGACUCCCUGACAGAUCGCCCAUACUGAACCAAUGUUGAAUCCAUCCCAUUAAUUUCCCAACUGACUACUCCACUUUGGAUAUUCAAGAUUCCUAAUAGAAACAGAAUCACCGACCAAUUAUCCUCGCAGAAAACUUAUACUUGACAAAGGAUCAGAUGAUCCUUCAAGUAGGAGACUCAUCCCAGCAACAGUUAGACUCAGACGAGAGCUUUGCGACAAGAUCAAGUCAUUUACUCUGAGAUUAUCCAAACCCAUCUGCAAGUGAACUAACAUAUCCUCGUAAUAGCAAGGCACUCCACACUCACGUCCCAAAUCUAUAAUACUGCUUUGACUUAUCCUGAUGCCCUUACCAAUAGAACCAUUCCAAGUUACAAUCACAAGAUGUUGAUCUAUCAUCAAAACUGAAUCCAUUCAUUGCUCUUGAACCCUUCAAUCGAUGCCCUCGGCAUAUAGAUACCCUGAUACUCAACCCACAAAACAAAAUUUUUGCACAAAACACUUACGAUCCCUGACUUGAGAUCUUACCCAAAAACCAACCCGAUACUCAAAUCACAACCUGAGAUCCAUAGAUCUGUACUUGUAUUUCACCCAAGACCUUCUGAUAACGUCAACCCUUGCUAGACCGAGAUAUAAAGGUUCCCAAACUAACGUUGCGACUACUAGUCUCGCACCUGGUACAACCACCAGGUUCCUAAGAGUCCAAAUGACAAGGAUACCAAGCCUACAAACCUCUCUGCGUCACGCACUGACCACCCUGUCAAACCUGGCCGAUGUGCCCAAGACACAAACUGAUUCCCCCUUUAUGCUCAUGACCACCUCCAACGAUAGUCUACGUUGACUGGUGAAUGCUACGAUCCUAUCGCAAUCUUUCAACACUUCAAAUCAGCCAUGGUUACCACUCAUGGCCUUACCAAACCUUAACCUCCAUAACCCCACGCACCUCAGUCGAAACCCACAUCUAACGAGGUGUUUGGGUCAUACUUCGAAUUCUAAAACCCUCAACUGACAAAAAUGGGCAGCGAGGCUCUAACACGACCCUCGAUCUAGAUUCAUCCAUAAGCCUGCUAUGCAUAACAAGAAGAUGUCGACUAGUUGUUGGGAGUUCCCUGAACUCCCACUUACACAACCUCAAUCUAAACGACCACUUGGAUCGUCUCUAUUCCUGACCACGAUGUGAAACUUUCCCUAGUUCCACAACCGAUCCAACUCCCAAAAAUUUUGAUCGAUUCUCCCCCACUUGGAUUCAACAAAUCUCUUUCAUCCCAUAAGUCUGAUGGAUUCUCAACCCAUCGAACCUCCUAUAGCAUGAGCCGCCUAUGACAUGCGCUUACAAAAACUAGCGUUCCAUUACUAGCCAAUCUCAACGAUUGCACAACUCCUGGAAUCCGGAAGAAUACUUUUGAGACCUUAACAAGCCUGAUGAUCCAAAUCACCUCCCAUGAUACCAUACCAAUUCCUUGAGUUUUAUGCCGGCAACUAAAAACCAUAACCCUUGCCAUGCAUUGAUGAACAUCCACUUUAAUUUCCAUCCUCAAGGAAUCAAUGAACUCUUACCGACUUUAGUCCAUGCGAAAAUACAAUUCCUUUGCCACAUCCAAUGAUCAAACAACUCACGCAAUGAACACCACCAUCUUCCUGCUACCGUUCCUAUCCUAGAAACAGUAGUCUCUUGAACUCCAAAAUUCCUCCAUAGGCAACUAUUGAUCAUACCCAACCAAAUGAUAGAACCACUGAACCCUCACUUCACUAGAGAACUAUCCCGCUAACCCUGACCAAAGAUCCUCCAAGCAAUACUCUAGAACUGAUCCCAACAAAGACCUCGAACAACAACGGAACACGCUGGACCCACUCCACAAGAUACUACCAUCUAAAUAUUCAUCAAGGACUCCCUGCAUGCAGAAUGGCAUAUCCCAAUCCUGGAUAAUAUAAUCCAGACAAUAGCAGAGAAUCGACCCGAGAUAUAGCUUACGUAACCCAAUCAGAAUCCAGCCUAAUACCAAUUCCCGAAAUCAACCCCGAACAAGAAAGAAGAUAAAAUACCCGCAGGAGCAUCUGAAGAAAUCCUGACUUCCUCUUCCAGAGUUAUCCUCACCAUCCUGAGGACAAGGUACGGAACACCCCUCCGAUCCCAAAUGACAAGAACUAACCAUAAGAUCCUCGAAGCCUUUGGCUUUUAAUGAGCUCCCAACUGACCUACCACAAUCCUGGCCCGAAAUGCCCCAAGAUGACCAUCAAAGAACUCCAAUGUCCCCUUCCUUAGCUGAACCCAAGACCACCAAGGUCCAAUCCGAGACACCUCGAUUAAUCUACGAAGAGAUAACUCGCGUGACUGCGCAUCGACCGUCUCAGUACCUGUUACUGAGCCGGAACUAGAACCUGAACCCCGUUCCCAAAUGCUCAACACCAUACCGAAAAAAUAUACAAAUGAUCUGAAUACACCCAAGAAUCCUCAUCCCACAGGUUUCCUAGAUCCUCCAAGGCUCUCCUCGAUUCAGGUAUGGAUCCUGUGCUUCUAGUAGUAUGGACCCAGUACUACCUUCCAUGCCUAUCCAUACUUUCCUCAAGAAUCCUCCUGAAUCCUCUAAGUCACCUUCUCAAAUCUAAACACCAACAUUCUCUAACCAGCAAAACAACUCCAACUGAAGCAAUCACUAGGUUUUCCAAGGCUCCCGGCCUCACCCUGCCAUAAGUUGUUGAAGAACUCCCCAUAAUGCCAGUCACCCACCUCAUGAAUAUAAUCAUAUGCAACAAAUAUUAGAUAAUCAUUUGAGUAACAGAAUCAUACCUACAACGGUUGACUCAUACAAGAGCUGUGGAAUAGGGUCAAAUCCAUCACUCUGACAUUAUUCAAACCUUUUCACACGUGACUUGUCAUAUUCACUUUGUAGCUAACUCUCAUCACCUAAGAGUUCUACAAAGCACAAAGCAAGAAACAUUCGUGCAGUACCACUCCAAUCCCACCUACUACAACACAUACUAGGAGCUCCCACUCCCUCUACUGAUUUCCCUACACAUACCAACCAAACCCAACCCAACAUCCCAUGCUUCCUAGACUACUAGGCAUCACAUAUCCAACCAACCUAUCAUUGGCUGAUCAAAACUAGCAUGCAAGUCUACAAGCUCAUACAAUAUGCAUACAAAAGCAUCUCUUCUAGCAUUCUAUCAUCCAAAAACUGAGCAGAUCCUUAGCCCUAGCGCGUCCGAAUCCCCCUCAAAUCAAGGCUCUGAUACCAAUUUGUAACAUCCCAAAAUAAUGACAUAAAAUUUUCAUUUAUCAAAUAAAGAAAUCGUUAAUACAUGUCAUUUCCGUAAAACCAUGGUAAUCAAGAUUUAGCAAAACAUCAUUGAAUCAGAGUAAAUCACAGAAUGCGGAAAACAUGUGGUGUGUUCCCUACAACCAUCCCGAGCUCUUCCUUUUGAAAACCAAAGUACCUAAAACAUAAACUUAAAACCGUAAGCACGAAGCUUAAUGAGUUCCCCAAGAUACCACAUACCAUACAUAUCAUAUAACGGGCCCCGCCUAAACAAGAUAAAGGUCCCACCCGCACUCGAAUAAUAAUGAGAUACGGGCCCCGCCCACACUCAAAUAAUAGUGAGAUGUGGGCCCCGCCCACACUCACAUAACGGGCCCUGCCCAAUAAACAUACAUAUACAAGUACAUACAUGUAUCUCACAUACUACAAGUAUAAUAACAUAACCAAAAGAGGGUCAGCCUUGGUGCCUUAGACUCGCUAAACCAGUGAGGAAACCCACCUCGCUCUGUUGAAGUUCUGCGGAUAAAUCUAUGGAUGCUGCCUGAUAGAUCCCUGAACUGUCAAUCAUCUAAACAACACCCUAUUAACAAUUGGGUUCCAAUGCAUAACCAUAAAUCCAUACUUGGGUUAAAAAGAACAUUUUACCCCUAACCUAGCUUGAUCCAAGCCUAAGGCCCAAACUCAUGCUCUGAAGGCCCAAAAGCCAAAUAAUAAACUAAGGCCCAAUUUGUGGCCUAAUUUUCCAAAUUGGGCCCAAACCCCUUACAUGGGCCUUACCCUAAAGUCCAUCCAAAUAUCCUAGUCCAUACACUUGCUCUCAGAUGGCCCAUCAAGAACCAAAACACCUAAGCCCAAUAGAAAGGCCCAACUCAAAGCCCAAACAAAAUUAGGGUUUUCACAAAAAAUGAUGGUUAGGGUUAAUUAAGAACACUUAACUCAUUAAGUCCAUCACUCUACUAGGUCAAUUAUACAAUAUGGUCGGGCAUAAUCCAUAAAUCCAAUCCAACGAUCCAAAACGCAGGUCCCUGCAAGUCCCAAACAAAAGUCACCAAGAUUAGGGUUUUCUAAACCCUAAUUAGGGUUUCCAACCCAAACACAUGCCAACUAGGUCCAAUGUUGAGUUUUUAGAUAAAUUUGUAUUUCACUAGGUCGUGCACCACCCAUUGCCACCUCGGGCGGUGGUGGUCGAUGACGGUCCACGACUGCAGCCACCCGCACAUAACGACGACUCAAGAGAUAAUUCCAACAACCAAACACACACACACACACACACACAAGUUGUACAUCAUUUACAUGCACACCAAUCUCACACAUAGCCACCCCCUCAUGGUGGCUGGUGCUGGCAAAAGAAGGNNNNNNNNNNNNNNNNAAGGCAGUUAGCGGCAGCCACCAUGGUUGGCUGUCAUGGUGGUUCGCCUCACCUCCAGCCAACAUAACACCCCCCCACACAUACACACACACACUUCACAGGUUCUAGCAGCAACACACGUAUAUACACAACACGAGACCACAAACUCUCAGCCACCAAAUAAGCGGUUGACGAUACCGGAAUCAACAAAAACAUCGACCAAAGGCUACUAGCGGCAACAACAAUGUACACGACGCCAUACUCACAUAAAGGAAUGAAUGAGAGGAAGGUGGGUUGUGGUUAGCCUUAUCAAGAGCUUCCAGUCAUUCAUGACCCAUAGAUCGACGUUCACAGCUCAUUCUUUGGUCUUCGUCGGUUGUCCCCGCUGCUUACAACGUCACCGGCAGCAGGGUUAUGGUGAUGGUGUUCAACGGCAAGGUAGUAGGUGGUAGAUUGGCGAUUGGACUCAGCAAUGCAGGCGAUGGAUGAGAAUUCUCCAAAAAUGGUGGCGCCUAGAGAAAUGAGCUAGAAUUAGGGUUAAUACAAAAGGAAGACGGGGGGAGGGGGAGGGAAGCUGGUUAAUCCCGUGUUCACUUCAAACAUAUGAUCAUUUUUCCAAGUUUGACCCUCCCCCACAAAAUAUUUAUCAACUUAACUUGAAUAUUUACCAAACAUCCCUUGACUUCUGAAAUUCUUUACAAAACCACCCCAGAAAUUACACUUUAACCUCCAAAUCUAAAAUUAUGACAUUUAACUCUCGGAACCAACAACCUUCUAAAUUAUUACGGAUUUAGGGCUACAAUAAAAUAUAAUUUACAUCUGGGGGUUUAGGGUUUAUUAUUUAUUUACUUAUUUUAUUGAAUUUAUUUUAAUUUCAACCAGAAUGUUACACAAUCAACCAUCAGGUUGGAAUACCCUCAGUCCUCAACCAUCGGGUUGGAAUGACAACAUACCAUGGGUCAAAUCAACCAUCGGGUUGGAAUAUCCUCAGCCCUCAAAAUGUCGGCACCUACAACAUGUAUUAGAGACAUUAAGGACGGAGAAGUUAUAUGUGAAGUUCUCAAAAUGUGAGUUUUGGAUACGGAAAGUCAACUUCCUCGGUCACGUGGUCAACAAGGAAGGGAUACAUGUGGAUCCCUCCAAGAUCAAGGAAAUUGAAAGCUAGGCAACACCAAUAACACCUAUAGAAAUCCAUCAAUUUUUAGGCCUCGUUGGCUACUACCUAAGGUUCAUACAAAACUUCUCUAAGAUCGCUAAACCCCUCACCACCUUGACUCAGAAAGGUGUAACCUUCAACUGGAAAGAGAAGCAUGAAGCUUCUUUCCAAACACCGAAACAAGCUCUAUGUAGUGCACCGAUCCCGCCUCUCGCAGAAGGGACAAAAGAUUUUGUAGUCUACUGCGAUGCGUCCAAACAAGGUCUAGGUUGUGUACUUAUGCAAUAAGGAAAGGUCAUUGCCUACGCCUCAAGGCAACUAAAGACUCACGAGGUCAACUACACAACACAUGACCUCAAACUAGGAGCAGUAGUAUUUUCCCUGAUGAUCUGGAGGCACUACCUUUACGAUACGAAGUGCACAAUCUUCACAGACCAUAAAAGUCUCCAACACAUCCUCAACCAAAGAGAGCUCAAUAUGAGGCAAAGAUGAUGGGUGGAGCUACUAAAUGAUUACGAAUGUAACAUUCGUUAUCAUACAUGCAAGGCCAAUGUAGUAGCAGAUUCCUUGAGCCGAAAGGAAUACUCGGGCCGCCGAGUAAAAUCAUUAACCAUGACUAUCCAUUCACACCUAUCCACGCAGAACAAAGAGGCCCAGUUGGAAGCCUUGAAACCUGAAAAUGUCACAGGUGAAUCCUUAAGAGGAAUGGAUAAAAAUCUAGAAGUCAAGGGUGACGGAGUUCGUUAUCUCAUGAAUCGAAUUUAGACACCAAAGUUUGGUGGAUUCAGAGAUGUUGUCAUGAACGAGGAUCACUAAACUCAUACUCCGUUCAUCCUAGUUCAGACAAGAUGUACAUGGACCUUAAGAAACUUUAUUUGUGGCCGAACAUGAAAGCCAAAAUCGCUACCUAUGUGGGUAAGUUCCUGACUUUCGCCAAGGUCAAGGUAGAAUAUCAGAAGUCCUCGGGUUUGCUGCAAUAACCAGAAAUACCCGAGUGGAAGUAGGAGCGGAUAACCAUGGAUUUCAUAACCAAGCUACCCAAGACAACAGGUGGACUUGACAUCAUCUGGGUGAUCGUUGACAGGUUGACCAAAUCCACACACUUCUUACGAAUAAAAGAGACGAACAAGAUGGAGAAACUGAUCAGAACAUACAUUAAAGAGAUCGUACGACUACAUGGUGUGCCAAUAUUCAUGAUCUCCGACAGGGAUACUAGAUUUACCUCAUGAUUCUAGUAGUCACUACAAAAAUCCCAGGGAACUAGGUUGGACAUGAGUACGGCCUACCACCCACAGAGCGACGGGCAGUGCGAAAGAGCUAUCCAAACAUUGGAGGAUAUGUUGAGAGCUUGUGUGAUAGACUUUGGUAAAGCUUGGGAUACCCAUUUACCACUAGUCGAAUUCUCAUACAACAAUAGCUAUCACACUAGCAUCAGAGUUGUUCCAUUCGAAGACCUCUAUGGCUGCAAGCGAAGAUCACCUAUGUGUUGGACUGAAGUGGGUGACACGCAACUACCAAAGGGGCAAGUUCCUGACAGCACUCUCACCGGCCCUGAGAUCAUAAGGGACACAACAGAUAAGAUCAUCCAAAUUCGAGAAAGACUGAAAGCAUCUCGAGAUCGUCCAAAGAGCUACACAGAUAAACGACGCAAACCCUUAGAAUUCCAGGUUGGUGACCGCGUACUAUUAAAAGUCUCACCCUGGAAGGGAAUGACACGUUUUGGAAAGCGUGGGAAACUGAAUCCAAGAUAUAUCAGACCAUUUGAGAUCUUCGCAAGGAUUGGUCUGGUAGCUUAUAAACUUCUACUACCACAAGAACUUAGUAAUGUACACCCCACCUUCCAUGUGUCCAAUCUAAAGAAAUGUCUGUCCGACGAAACUCUUGUAAUCUCACUCGAUGAAAUCGAGAUAAACAAGAGUCUACACUUCGUAGAAGAACCUGUGGAAAUUAAGGAUAAGGAGAUCAAGAGAAAAAAACAAAGCCAAAUACCAAUGGUAAAGGUCUGUUGGAACGCCAAGCGAGGACCUGAGUUCACAUGGGAACGAGAAGACCAUAUGAAAAAAAAGUACCCACAUUUGUUCCCUAGCUCAUGAGUAACCACUCUAGAACUAAUUUUGGGAUGAAAUUCCCUCUAACAGGGGUAUGAUGUGACAACUGGAAAAUUUCUAGAGAAAUCAAGGUCUAAACUUUAACCAUGUACAAGUGAAUUCGCAACGUAACUUUGAUGCAAUAGAACUUUGAAAGCGAAAACUUCAUGUUUAUAUAAGUUAAUAUACAAAUAUAUAUAAAUGGAAAACCAUGUUGAAAUGAGCUAUUGUAAACACAAGUCAAAAUGUUAAGUCUAAAACCAUAAAAUAAUACAUUACACUUGAGUUUUCAUUUUUAGGAAUCUAGUUAAAAAGGGUUUUUCGUUUUUAGAAUCUAGGAUUGUCACACACCAAAACUGGAAUGGCGGAAACGUUCGGGGGUGGAGGACGUUAUGUACAUUAUCAUAACAAUGCAAAAUAGUAAACAAGCAACAACAUCAUCCAUUGCAUUAAUAGUAUAAUUUAAUACAUGUGUGUUAUUUCAUAGUAAAAAGACAUCAAAUAAAGUAAAAAAUAAAAGACAAGUCUUAAACAUGCUUCGUCUUCUCAAAAACCUGGUCGACUGUACCUGUCUAUUGGUGACCGGAGAAUACAAGUUAUUUUGAAAGAGUUUAUCCGCAUUAAAGCAGGUGAGUUCAUAAGUAUUUAGUGUCAAUGUUUGUAUAAGUUUGAUGAAAACGUUUGUAAAUAUUCAAUGUAAAUGUUUGUAGUAAAUGUUUGUAACUCCUAGAAAAUCCUAUAUUUUCUACUAAACGUAGCCUUCUACCAAGGCAUCAAAUUUUUGUAUGUUUGUUUCUUGUAAAAGUGUGUAUUUUCCCAAGUGUGACUAUCAUUAACCAAAAAUAUAGUUUUUACAUCUCCGUUUAUGUGAGAAGAUCUCAAUGUGAAUGCAAUGGGAAAAUAAUAAAGUAUUGUAGUGUUGUAUUAUGGUAACUAUUGUUGUACUAACUACCUUAAAUCGGUUGUUAAUUAAGGUAUAAUGUGAUAUGAUUGCACCAUAAUAUCGACUAAAAACACGACGAUGAAAGACGUAGGAAGAAAUGACAUUUGGCACCCGUAGACUUGCAAGUCCCACUGUAGUGAAUAGCAAGGUGUAGGAUAGUUCAAUCCAAUAUAGAGCUAUACACAAAUUCACGCUCUCCCUCUAGGAGACUCUGGAUACAAAACGAGCCAUGGCAGGUGAUGCCAUGCCCGGAAACUAUGGCUCACAUUUAUGUUAUAGUAUUCUUGUAUAUGUAUUGUAUAUACUAGUGUAAUGUACGUUCUCUCUGUCUAGUAUGUAGUAUGUUCUCUUUGUUUCUCAUCAUAGUAUGUUCUCCUGUAUAAUGUAUAGUAUGUUCUCUUAGUUUCUCAUUAUAGUAUGUUCGUUCUGUUUCUCAUAUAGUAUAUUUGUUUUGUUUCUCAUAUAGUAUAUCCUCUUAGUUUCCCAUAAUAGUAAGUUUGUUUUGUUUCUCAUAUAGUAUAUUUGUUCUGUUUCUCAUAUAAUAUACCCUCUUAGUUUCUCAUAAUAGUAAGUUUGUGCUGUUUCUCAUAUAGUAUAUUUCUUAUGUUUCUCAUACAGUAUGUCCUCAUAGUUUCUCAUAAUAGUAAGUUUUUAUUGACUCAUGAAUGAACUGACUCUUGUAUGUUUCGUUAUACUAGAAAUAAUGAGUAGUGUCUUCCUAAACUAUACCUAUUAUAGUUUACUAGUAAUUUCUGUAGUUUGAAGGAAUGAAGGUAUGCCUUUGCUACCCAAAGGUACUGAACUGAUUGAUAGUACUUUUAUAUCUACGUAUGUAUACAUAAUAUAUAACUAAUAUUUAGAUGACAUUCGGACAAAUAACCGAUACCCUAAGGCCACAUCCAAACAAGGAAAAGGAAAUAAAGCGAGUGAUCAGUCCUAAGUCCUUUAAACAUUACUUAUAUAACUAUACAUAUAUAGACAUGCUUUUGACAAUAUAUAAGUUCAAAAAGAAGUUUUGUAAAACAUUUGAAGAGUUUAAUUAAUAAAUAUUGAUGACUUGAUGUCAAUUUAUAAAACGAUUUAAAAGCAGUUUGAUUGACAAGACAAUUUAAAGUAUAAGAAAUCAUUUGUUUGAAACACACUUAAAGUAUAAGAAAUCAUUUGUUUGAAACAUAGUUAUAAAUCACUCGUAAUUGAUUUUAUAUAACUACAUGUUUUCUACUUGUAUUCCCCCCCCCCCCCAAUAAAAGUAUUUAAAAUCAUUUAAAAGGUAGAUUAAGGGGUAUGAACUCACCUAUAGUGAGCGGUUUGGAUGAACGAGUGGUGUAGGAUGCUAAAUGCCAAGUGAAGACUUGAGCACACACACAGAUCCUAUUUAUCAAAUAAUGAUACAUAUAAGCCUCUAAUUAGUGUUUUAAACAACUAAUCAUAAGAGAUAACACCCUAAUAGACUAAGAAACUCUUAGAUUGAAGGGAUAUAAUCAUAUAUGACUGCAUAACUAGGGUGUAUGGCUACCCUAUUGAGUUUACGGUCCAAAGAGGUAUGCCAUAGGGAGUUCACGGUCCUUGGAGUUUACGGUUCUUGGGUUCACGGUCUCAUGGCCUUACAGUCAUGGAGUUCAUGGUCUAAGGAGAUCCAACCGAAAACUCACCAAAUAUUUCACGAAUGAUGGUUUUUAAGGGCUUCAAUCAAAGGCAUCGGAUUCUAGGGACCAUGCUUAGCCUUAGGAAGGGUAAAGGCUAUAAGAGCACCCUUUAUAAGGGUUUACGGUCUAUGAAUAUGCACUAGACCGUAAACACCUUUUGUUCUUGAUUUUCUUGAUGUUUUCUAGGUGUUUAACAAGUGUUUCAAGUAUAUAACAAGCUAAGGGUAGUGUACUUACUUAUUAGAAGCUCGCAAGGGUGAUUAGGAUCAAAGAACACUAGUGUGUGUUCUUGGUGUUCUUGGUGAAAUGAAGAACACUUGAAGAUCUAUCAAAAUGAAGAGAUUUCAUGGAUGAAAUCAUGUAUAAUCACUAGAUAUAGAAGGAUAUCCACUAAUCAAGGGAAGAAAUACUUACAAUCUUGCAGAUCUAAGAGAAAAGUCGGAUGAUACUUGAGAGAGAAUGAGUUCUUUGGCUUGAAAUGGUAAAAGUGAUUGAAAAUGACUAAGGUUUGAAUAUAUAGCAUGGAGUUUUUCGGCCACCUUGACCGUAAACUCAAGGUCGUGACCGUAAACUCCUUUUGAGGAGGUUUACGGUUUGCUAGAUAGUUUAGAACUUAAACAGACACUUUCAAACAUUGAUUCCUUUGAUGCACUAGUCUCAGAAUACUCAAAAUAGACACUAAACAGUUCUAAAAGAUAGCAACAUGAGCCUAACAUUGAUAUAUUUGAAUGUUUAUACAAGCUAGAAAUUUCGGGUUAUCACAAGGAUCAAAGGGGUUUUCGGUUUCAUGAGGUCGAAAUCUCAUUUGUGGCUACUACUAGGACCGAAAUCUCCCUUUCUUGGGUGAUGCCAAACCGAAAUCAAAGGGGAUUUCGGUAAUUGGUUGUCCAAAAUCACCCAAAAGGUGGCCAAAUGGUGCCACCUGAUUGGUUAAUUACCUUCCCAAUGUGAUAUAUUACAUUUACCAAUGUAGACAUCACUUCACCUUAUCCUUUCCUUCAUAUAUAUAUAUAUAUAUAUAUAUAUAUACACGAUUUAGGGACUAUUUCUAAACUUCAUUAUCAUUUAAACAUUUCCCCGUUUGAUUCUCUCAAAAUCAAACCCAUAUUCCUCUCAAAACACAAGUUCAAACAUCCCCAGGAGACUUUCCUUCAAAGUUGAUCUUAAAGAUUUUGGGUAAGUUUCCUCAUUAUCUAGUGUUUUUACUAAUGGGUUUUGAGCAAAAGAACAUCUUAUGUGCACAUGCAAAACCCUAAAGCAUUUGGAUCUAGGUUUCUCUAUUGUACAUGCAAAUUAUCCAAAGCUUGUAAACCCUAAACUAGCAUACUUUGAAAAACGAGAUAUAUAACAAAACAAGUUUAGAUGAUACCUUUCAAUAGUUGCAAGAAUCUUUGAUCUUCAAGAAACUUAGUGUCACAAGUGUAACACCUCUAAUGGAUUACAAACACCAAAGCAAGGAGAUGAUCUAGAAGAGAGAAGGAGGGAGGAACAAUUUCGACUAUAGUAACUCUAGGGUUUCUUGGUGUAGCUGAAACUGAAGCCCUAGGGUCCCUUAAAUAGCUGAGCUGCUUGGGUUUCAGUCAAAACACUAAUUGGAUUACUUAGGCCCAAAGCAGCUUAAGAACCUUCUGGAAUAAGGCCCCAAUGGACGAAAUUAGAGUGGGCUUCCACUCCAAAUUUCAUCCCCCUUAUGCCCAUGAGGAUUCAUAGCCCAAAUUCAAUUAUCUUAUAAUUGACUAUUCCAGUCCCCCUUUAUUUAAUUAAUCUCUUUUAUCCACAUAAUUAAAUCUUAACUAAUUCUUGACCAAUAUUAGUCAAACUAUAUGAUUUCUCUUUUAAUAUAUUAUUCAUAUAUUAUAUUAAUAAACCAUAAUAACAUUUCUCUCUCUCUCUCUCUCUCUCUCUCUCUCCAUAAAUCAUCUUGUCUAGUUGCUUUGGUGAAGGCAACCCAAAAUGACCAUGCAGAACCGGGUCAAGUACAUACCAAAUAUAGUUACGGGCUUAGACACUAAUCUAACAGUCUCCCACUUGGAUAAGUCUAGCAACUAUAAAUGCAAGUACGAGUUCAGGAUCUGAUUAGCAAUCGUAGCUCUCAAAGAUGUUGUGAACUCUGAUCUUAUCAUUAACCUGUCCUUUAGAUAAGGGAUCGUUCAGUCCUCCGUUCUAGAUAUCGUGCGGAAAAUUACAUGGAACAUAGUCAUACUUAUUGUCCAGAAAUUUGUUUCUUGAUCUCUGAUUCGUCUGACAUAGAACUUAAUUGAACACAUCAAUUCAGUCCUGACCAGGCCCGACAUAUAAUUCAAACCAAAUCAUCGAGGGGCCCAGAUAUCGCAUUUACCCUCUUAGGAUAAAGGAACAGAUAAACUUCGAUAUAUAUGCAUUUACCAUUCACUCAUCAAGUCAUGCACAACAAUGUGUUUUAUAACGUCUAGUUACUGAUGUGUUUACGCAUUAUCAAUGCACAACCAACUUGCAAACAAUAAACCAUAUAUCUAGGUUUCAAGACCAUAUGAUAUUAUCGUCUUGCGAUCACUUGUGAUAAAUUCCAUGAAGGGAUACCAACAAGCGUGGGUUUAAUCCAAUGCUCAAAGCUUAUUUAUAAGCACUCAUGAACGUUGCAACAAACUUUUUCUAUGUCUAAUACACUUUAGAUAGUCUACAAACCAAUCCUUGAAAGUCUUAUUUCACACCUACUUCCAAAGUAUGAGCGACUGUGGAUUAUUUGAAUAAUCUUAUUAUUCACGAAGUCAAAACACGCAAAAUGAAACAAUAGGUAAACAAAUUAACAUAAAACAGUAACUUUACUCAUAAAUAAUACUCCUUUAUUUAAUCAUCAAAUGUUAAUUACAAUUUAUCUAUUACACGUUUCUAAGCUAUGUAAUCUAAACUAAUAUCGUCCUUCAACCCCUAGCGUGCUGCAAGUGCUUAACCCUACUCAGUCCCUUUUUAAGGGGAUCUGUUGGGUUAUCCUCUGAGUAUACCCUCUUCACUACGAGGAGUCCCUCUUCCACCCAAUGUCGAAUAAAUUGAUAUUUCCUGUCGAUAUGUUGAGAUCUACCUUGAUCCCUCGGUUCCUUGGUUAAGGCAACCGUUCCUUCAUUAUCGCAGAAAAUUUCCAUGGGCUCCUUUAUGGAUGGCACAAAUCCAAGUUCUCCAAUGAAGUUCUUCAACCAAAUCGCCUCCUUUGACACUUCGCUCGCAGCUAUGUACUCUAAUUCGUACAUUGAAUUAGCUACGGUCUCCUACUUGGAAGAUAUCCAGGUUACUGCUCCUCCAUUCAAGGUAAAGACCCAACCCGACUGAGAACGGUAGUGGUCUCGGUCGGUCUCUGGCGUCACUAUACCCUCGCACCCUUAAGUCAUCACUCCCACUGAGGACUAUAAGCCAUUCCUUGGUCCUCCAAAGGUACUUAAGAGUAUUCUUAACUACGGUCCAAUGUGCUCUGCCAAGGUUCCCUUGAUAUCUGCUGAACAUGCUCAAAGCGAAGGCCACAUUAGGGUGAGUACAAGUCAUAGCAUACAUGAUCGAGCUAACUACGGAAGCAUAAGGUACUCGGUUCAUCUCUGUUGUCUCGACUUCGGUACUCGGGCUUUGAGUCUUACUCAAUUUGGCAUUACUUUGGAUCGGUAACUCCACUUUCUUGGAAUUCUCCAUACUAAAACGCUUUAGUACCUUGUCCAAGUAAGUAUUCUGACUAAGUCCUAUUAGUCUUUUUCUCCUGUUUCUCACUAUCCUUAUCCCUAGAAUAUAAACAACCUCCCCUAGGUCCUUUAUAGUGAAACACUUCCCAAGCCAGGACUUAACAUCCUACAGGGUCGGGAUGUUGUUUCCUAUGAGUAGUAUGUCAUCGACAUACAAUACGAGGAAGCUAAGUAUACUCCCACUAGCUUUGACAUAUACACUUAAUUCAUCCUUGCUUUGCAGGAAUCCAAACUCUUUGACUUUCUCGUCGAAACAAAGAUUCCAUCUGCGAGACGUUUGAUUUAAUUAAUAAAUGGAUUUCUCAAGCUUACACACUCUAUUAGGAUGCUUCACAUCGACAAAACCCUCUGGUUGACUCAUGUAAACAUCUUCAGCCAACUUCCCAUUAAGGAAAGAGGUUUUGACGUCCAUCUGCCAUAUUUCAUAGUCAUGAAAUGCAGCCAUGGAUAGCAUCAUCCAAAUAGACUUUAUCUUCGAAACCGGUGAGAAGGUCUCAUCAUAGUCAACUCUGGGAGUUUGAGUAAAGCCAUUCGCAACCAAUCGCUCCUUAUAAGUGUGUAUUUUCCCAUCCAUGUCGUUCUUCAUCUUGAAGAUCCAUUUGCACCCGACCAUCUUACGACCUGGCACAUUAUCAACCAAAUUCCAAACUUUGUUGUCAUACAUGGAGUAAAUCUCGUUGUCCAUAGCCUCUUUCCAUUUCGCAGACUCCGGGCCUGCCAUGGCUUCCUUGUAGUUGUUAGGUUCAUCCAAAUUUACUAGUGUACUAUCACUAAUAAACUUAUCCCCUUCAUUAGUAAUAUGGAAACCAUAAAACUGGGGUGUAACACUAACUCUUUCGGAACGUCUAAGAGGUAAGGACUCGUCAAUCGGUUCAACAUGAGUUUCCUCAGAUGUUAAACGCCAGUGUUAGAGGUUCCUUCAUCGUUCGAUUCUUGAAGCUCUUCAAGAUCGAUUUGCCUCUCACUCUCGGAAAACCCCUCUCCUCGCAACGAAGACAACACUUUCACUCGGUCUAUAAAAGAGAUAUCCAAAGGACUACUGCAGGUAGCCGCUGAAAAUAUACCGCUCACUACGAGGUUCGAGCUUGCCAUGAGUCUCUCGUCUUACGAAAGCCUCGCACACCCAAACCUUGAUAUGUGCCAACAAGGGAGCUUUCCCCGUCCACAUCUCGUGAGGUGUUUUGGCAACCUUCUUUGUAGGGAUUAGGUUAAGGAUAUGCGCGACAGUCUCCAAGGCAUACCCCCAUAAUGAGAUAAGUAGUGAAGCACGACUCAUCAUGGAACGAACCAUGUCAAGUAAGGUUCGAUUACACCUCUCAGCUACACCAUUCAACUGCGGUGUCCUAGGUGGCGUCAAUUGCGAAACCAUUCCACAUUCCUUGAGGUAGUUGUGGAAUUCAAGACUAAGGUACUCUCCACCUCGAUUGGAUCGAAUCUGUUGGGUUUUGAGCAUUCUAACACUCCUAAGUGUACAUGCAACCCUAAAUACCUUGGAUCUAUGUUUUCUCUAUUAUACAUGCAAAUAUGAACUUCCAAGGUAUUAUCCUAAUCUAGCAUACAAAACAAUGAAUAUAACAAGAUAGAAUACAUACCUCUUUGAUGUAGAAAGUCUUCAUGAAGCUUGAGUGCCUAGUGCCUCAAGUGUGACACCUCAAAUGGUUCACACAACACCAAAUACACUUGGAAUAACUUGAGAUAAUUCUACACUUCAUGAAAAUCGGCUAGCCCUUCUUUUACACACACUAGUGGCCGAUUUUGGUCAAGAAUAAGACGCAUAUAUAGUUAGGGUUACACCAUGUAAACCCUAAUAAACAUGGCCUUUCAUUUCCAUGAUCCAUGGAUACAAAAACACCAUGGAGCAUCCAUGGAGCAUCAUAUGGGUUUUUAGCCCAACUAGAUAAUCCAUGGAGCAUUAUUUACACAAUCAACCCAUAUAUUUAAUUAGUCUUCUUUUGAUCACUUAAUUAAUCCUAGAUUAAUUCUUGAUCAAUACUAAUUAAAUAAUCUUAUUAUUAUUAUUAUUAAUAUACUAGAACUUAUAAUAUAUUAAUAACCAUAAGUGUCUUAUUUCUCUCAUUAUAGUCUAUCCAAGUGCAUGAUGGUAUGCAACCCAAAUGGACCAUGCCGGGUCGGGUCAAGUCUUACCAAUUAUAGUUAUGGACUUAGACAUUAAUCCAACAGUCUCCCACUUGGAUAAGUCUAAAACUAUUAUUGCGUAUGACUUCAGGAACCAACUGGCAAUCGUAGCUCUCAAAAGCUUCUGUCGAACUCUGACCUUGUAGAUGAACUCUGACCUUUGUCAAUGACUUGUCCAUUAGAUAAGGGAUCAUAUAUUCCUCCAUUCUAGAUAUCAUAUGGACUGAGACAUGGAUUAUAAUCAUUCUCUCUGUCCAUUUGUUGUUUCCCGAUUUCCGAUUUAUGACGACUGACUAAUUGAACAAAUCAAAUCAGUCCUGGCCCGGCCGAGCACUUCCAUUUGUCAUCAUCAAAUCAUCGAGGGGCCCACAGAUAUCGCUUUUAUCCCGAAGGUAAAAGGAAUGGAUAAACUUCGACUCAUAUGGCUUGUUCUACUACUUGUUGAAUCAUACACAAAGGCACGUUUUAUAACAUCGAGUUACCAAUGCGUUUUCAUGCAAUCAAUGUACUAUCAACUCAUAGUAACAACUCAUAUCUCUAGGUUUGAAGAAUAUAAGAUAUUAUCGUGUCAUGAUCACUCGUGAUUAAAAUCCAUCAAGUGAUUCCAAUGAGCGCGGGUUGAAUCCAAUACUCAGAACUUAUGAGCACUCAUGAGUGUUGUAGCCCUUUGUCCAACACCUUAGACCUCUACAAGCCAACCCAUGACAGUCUUAAUUCAUAUCUACUUCCAACAUAUGACCGACUGUGGAUGGUUUGAAUAACUUAGUCAUUCCGGAAGAAUAACCCAGUUUAUUCGGGAAGUCAAAACAUGCAAAGUGAAACACAAUAAUAAUCGAAUCCAAUAUGGUCUCAAAACUUAUGAACAUAAAUAAAACACCUUUUAUUUAUCACCAUAUGAUUACACAUUAUUCAUUGUAUACUGUUUCAGCUAUCAACUUUAUUCUUGAAUUUAAAACAAUAGUUGUCCCAUGCUCCAAGCAUGUACACUAUGUUUUCUAAACACUAGUCAUGCCAUACACCAAGUAUGCAUACUAUGUUUGUCUAUGAUCUUUACUUUGUGAACUAGAUCCAUUGAACAUAACUUCAAUGAUUCUCUUUUCACACGUCCCAAAUCUUACUGCAAAUGCAAGAAUUCCAAAUUCAUGCCAUUUACUGAAAUCUAUUAGAUUCUAAGCUUAUAUGCAUUGAUCUUCUUGUAAUGAUUACGCACAAAGUCACAAGGACUUGACAACAAACAUUAGAAAGUAUUCCAAAGGAGUUCAGCUCCUUGGAAACAUCCUUCUUGCAUUAAGUUUCUUAAUCUUACAUAGAUUGAAAUUUCUAACUUUGAAACAUUUCUAGAUUCCAUUUUGACUAUCACUUCUGAACAAGAGUUGCCUCCUUACAGAUUAUGUCAAUAUGGUCCUUCCAGAAUUAUCACUAUACUUCCAACUGUCCUUGAGCAACCAAUCUUUGGUAAACCUUAGAUUGUCCUCGACAAUUGUUUAAUCCUUUUAGUCAUAUCCAGUUCUAAACCUUUUCCCUUCUUAAUGCCCCAGGCAUUUGGAAAAUUUUAGAACGGAUGAAUAUAGCACAUGUAAUCAAUCCUAUAUCCGAAGCAUAUGGGACACAAUUCAUCAUAUCUCACAUAAAGACUAAACCAGUCUUUUGCUAUACUAUUUCCAUUUCAAUUUGCCAAGUUCUCAUAAUUCAGAUUAUGAAAAGGGAUGUCGUAAUCAUAAUCGAAUUUUAGAAUGCAAAUAAUGGACCCAUAUACAUAAUUUCCUUAUGUUGAGCCAUUCCAACAUGAAAUUCAUAUAUAUAUAUCCUUGACUAAAUGAUUAAAACCUCAUGAUCUAAGCUUAUAGAUUUGAGAUGAAGUAUAAUUUCCUCUCCCUUAAUUAUAGCAAAACAACUUUUUCCCAAUUGAAACUUUUUGUUUUCUAUAAUUAACAUUGCUAACUUGCAAUACUUAUCAUAAUUAUCAUGCUCCCACUAACAUGAUGAUUAUUAGCAUAACACUUAUGCUCCCACUAGCUUUGACAUGUACUCAGAAAUCAGCUGACUUUCUUACCAAAGUUCAGAUUUCUGAUACUAGAUUGUUUUGAUAAGUCUUUAUCAAAAUCAUACACCUUCCCUUAGAUAGCACACUUGUGUAUCUAAACAAUUAUGAAGAGGGAUGCCGUAAUCAUAAUGUUUAGACCUUUUUGCCACUUCU